CCUACGGGGGGCAGCAGUGGGGAAUAUUGGACAAUGGGGGGAACCCUGAUCCAGCCAUGCCGCGUGUGUGAAGAAGGCCCUCGGGUUGUAAAGCACUUUCAGUGAGGAAGAACGCCUGGUGGUUAAUACCCAUCAGGAAAGACAUCACUCACAGAAGAAGCACCGGCUAACUCCGUGCCAGCAGCCGCGGUAAUACGGAGGGUGCGAGCGUUAAUCGGAAUUACUGGGCGUAAAGCGCGCGUAGGUGGCUUGAUAAGCCGGUUGUGAAAGCCCCGGGCUCAACCUGGAACGGCAUCCGGAACUGUCAAGCUAGGGUGCAGGAGAGGAAGGUAGAAUUCCCGGUGUAGCGGUGAAAUGCGUAGAGCUCGGGAGGAAUACCAGUGGCGAAGGCGGCCUUCUGGACUGACACUGACACUGAGGUGCGAAAGCGUGGGUAGCAAACAGGAUUAGAUACCCUUGUAGUC
rnacentral:rRNA from 1 species